GCUGAACUAAUAUCCAUUUUUAAGCAACCAGCUAUAACUAGUCUCGGUAGGCUUAUCACCUUACUCGGGGGUCUUCCCACUCUUUUGCGACAGAAAAGGAACAAAGAGCAAUAGAGAUAGUACCGCAAGGGAAAGCUGAAAUAGAAAUGAAAUAGUAAUAAGUUUUAAAAAGCAGAGACUAAAUCUCGUACCUUUUGCAUCAUGGUUUAGCAAGUAUAAUCAAGCAAAGAGACCUUCAGUUUGAACCCCCGAAACUACUUGAGCUACUCCGGGGCAGCCUAUUAGUGCCAACCCGUCUCUGUCGCAAAAGAGUGGGAAGACCCCCGAGUAGAGGUGAUAAGCCUACCGAGACUAGUUAUAGCUGGUUGCUUAAAAAAUGGAUAUUAGUUCAGCCUUGUACAUUCUAUAACCAGCACAUAAGAACAUCGCAUGUAUAAGAGUUAGUCAAGUGGGGACCAGCCCGCUUGAAGCAGGAUACAACCUUUAAAGGAGGACAAGGAUCAUAACAUCAAAUGAUUAAACCCCAGUAGGCCUAAAAGCAGCCACCUAUUAAAGAAAGCGUUAAAGCUCUUAUCAAAACAACACACAAUAAAGACAAAAAAUCCCUAUCCCCCAAAAAUAUUAAGCUAUUCUAUGCACCCAUAGAAGAAAUAAUGCUAAAAUUAGUAAUGAGAGGAUAAACCUCUCCUGACACAAGUGUAAGUUAGAAUGGAAAAACCACUAACAACUAACGACCCCAACAUGAGGGAAAAAGAAAAUUCAAAGUAAACAAGAAAAUAAUAUUCACGAGUAGACUAGUCGUUAACCCAACACAGGAGUGCCCAAAGGAAAGACUAAAAGGGGAAGAAGGAACUCGGCAAACAUAGACCUCGCCUGUUUACCAAAAACAUCGCCUCUUGCAAUAUAAGUAUAAGAGGUCCCACCUGCCCACUGACUAACGUUUAACGGCCGCGGUAUCCUGACCGUGCUAAGGUAGCAUAAUCAUUUGUCUUUUAAAUGGAGACUAGUAUGAAUGGUAUAACGAAGGUUUAACUGUCUCCUUCCCCCAGUCAAUGAAAUUGAUCUGCCCGUGAAGAAGCGGACAUAGACACAUAAGACGAGAAGACCCUAUGGAGCUUUAGACAAGAAUCACACAUGUAAAAUUUAAUAUGCCAAAAGGAAUACAACAAACCCCACUUAAUGUAGUAUGAUUUAAUGUCUUCGGUUGGGGCGACCAUGGGGGAAAGUAAAGCCCCCACGAAGAAUAAGAAAUAUCUUCUAAACCAAGAAAUACACUUCUAAGUAGCAGAAAAUCUGACCAUAUGACCCAGGACAACCUGAUUAACGAACCAAGUUACCCUAGGGAUAACAGCGCUAUCCUUUCCCAGAGUUCAUAUCGACGAAAGGGUUUACGACCUCGAUGUUGGAUCAGGACAUCCUAAUGGUGCAGCCGCUAUUAAGGGUUCGUUUGUUCAACGAUUAACAGUCCUACGUGAUCUGAGUUCAGACCGGAGUAAUCCAGGUCGGUUUCUAUCUAUGAAUAAACCCAUUCUCAGUACGAAAGGACAAGAAUGAGGGGGACUAUAAAAACUUAUUCCCUAAUUGAUUUGCUGAAAACAAAUAAAGUAUUAUAUUUUAACCAAGGCCAAAGAAAAUGGC
rnacentral:rRNA from 1 species